rnacentral:rRNA from 1 species
UAGAUACCCUGGUAGUCCACGCCCUAAACGAUGGAUGCUAGUUGUUGGAGGGCUUGGUCUCUCCAGUAAUGCAGCUAACGCAUUAAGCAUCCCGCCUGGGGAGUACGGUCGCAAGAUUAAAACUCAAAGGAAUGACGGGACCGGCCACAAGCGGUGGAGCAUGUGGUUUAAUUCGAAGAUACACGAAGAACCUUACCUAGGCUUGACAUUGAGAGAAUCCGCUAGAAAUAGUGGAGUGUCUGGCUUGCCA